rnacentral:rRNA from 1 species
AUACGUAGGGUCCGAGCGUUGUCCGGAGUUACUGGGCGUAAAGCGCGCGCAGGCGGCGGUGUAAGCAUGGCGUGAAAGCCCCCGGCUCAACCGGGGAGGGUCGUCGUGGACUGCACCGCUUGAGGGCGGUAGGGGCUGGUGGAAUGCCUGGUGUAGUGGUGAAAUGCGUAGAGAUCAGGCGGAACACCCGUGGCGAAGGCGGCCAGCUGGGCCGACCCUGACGCUGAGGCGCGAAGGCGUGGGGAGCGAACGGGAUUAGAUACCCCGGUAGUCCACGCAGUAAACGAUGCAGACUAGGCGUGGGGGGAGUUGACCCCCUCCGUGCCGGAGCCAACGCGGGAAGUCUGCCGCCUGGGGAGUACGGCCGCAAGGCUAAA